CCACUGAGCCAGGAGCUGGCUGCAUCAGAGUUCCCGACCGGCCUGGUGCUGGGGCUGCAGCCAUGGAGAGCGGGGAAUGACUGCUGGGUCCUUGCGUUCAGAUUUGCUUCCCCCAGUUGGGAUAAAUGGGAAGGAAAGGAGCUGGCUGCUGUGCUGUGCAGUGCCGGGGAGAGCAGAUGUUGUAAGGAGAGGCUAGGAAAGCAAGAGUGAAUGGCCUGGCGACAGUAACCGUGAUGAGAACUGAUGCUGCCACGCGCGUGCUUGCAAGUCGCAGAGUCCAGGCUCGGUUAGGUGGGAAGCAAACAAAGAAGACCGAAAGGCAAAUCGCCAGAGGACUGGGCAAAGUGACCCUGGUUGAAGGGCUUGUGUUUAUCCACCACUACAUCUUGCAUCAGUGUGAUGCCAGUUGCUCCCAUAUAAAUGUGCCGUCUAUCCAGACACGUGAGAAGCGGAUGAACUUCUACAUUCGGGAUGCUCUAUGUUGCAGCCAGAACCGAUAAGCCGGCACCUGGCUACCGUGGCUGGGGGCUCACUUUCUUACCCUCUCCACCUCCUGAUGUACCUCUGCAUUCAUUUCUGUGGGUUCAGUACUAGCUGCAGAGCCCAGGCGUGAGCGUGUUUGCUGUGGGCUGGACUAGAUGACGCAGCGCUCCCUUGGAACUGGCCCGAGUUGGAAAGUGGGUCAGUUAAAUUUGGUUCUGGAUAAGGGCCGUGCCCAGGGAGCUGAUGAGUGCUCUGUGCCUAGCUUCUGUCUGGCUAUAGAAACUCCCCAUCUUCUUUCCCCCCCCCUUCUUUUUUUUAAAGGAAAAUGUCAAAGGAAAGGGCUUCAAAUGGAACCGGCCCUCGAGUUAGCCUUUAAAAAUCCUGCUGCUUCAAGGUAAUAUUAUCUCUUUCUUCUCUGGAAAGGCCCCUGAAGGCCCAGUUUCCUUGGUCUUUGGUCCUGGCUUUGUUCCCUCCAACUCACUUCACCCUAGGCUUUCUCUGCCAGGGUGACCUCCCUCCUCUUCCCAAGCCCUGCGGGUCUGAUGUGCUGCACUUCCCCAGUUGCCUUCCUUUCAGUGGGAAGGCUGGGGCAGGGACGCACGUGUCCCACUGCUCCUUCCCACAUCCCAGCUCGUGCAUCAUUCCCUGUGACCAUCCCCAGUAGCUCACUUUGGCUUCCCCACUACUCUUGCACUCCUAGCUACUUGGAGUGAGCAGGGAUCAACUAGAAAGGGCCUCAGGAUCUGCAGACCUCCUUGCUGGGUUCACUCUGUCUCCUGACAGCCACUCUCCACCAGCAGAGCCUGGCUCUAGCCCCAGCACCUGCCUGGGGAUGCAGCAGGCAGUGAGAUCGACACAGCACGAGGAAGCCUCUGCUUCACCAAGCUGAGGUCCCUGGCCUGCUUGCACCUGCUCCCUUCUUCCCAGAGUGUGCACUGAUGAGAGCCAAGCCUGGCUCCCAGUAGGAGUCACUGGACUCUGUCCAACUUCUCCCAGGCAUCUGGGAGCCGCCAUCCUAGCCAGUGCCCAUUGCAGCUAGGAAGCAGGGGCUCAGUGUUGCACCGUGGUGUUCAGGGCCAGGCACCUCCCCUUGUCCCGCGAAUCCCCGGUACAAAUCCUGCAGCGCUGACCCCCUUGGGUCCUGCGUGGGCACUACACGUGUUCCCAGAAGUGUGAGGGGCUGCAGCUUGGGCAUCCCGUUGUAUGUGAGCAGCAGCUUGGGGCAGCUCAGUCCUGUUCUGGAGAAGUGGUCUGGCUGGUACCAGAAAUGCCCAGCCCAUGUCCCUUCUCAUCAGUGGGGCUUGAAGAGAUGAUGGACAGGGCUGUCUGCCAGAUAGAAGCCCUGCUUUUUUAUUAGGGGAGCAGACAUGGCAGACCUAUGCUCUCUUGGCUUUAGUUCUUCAGCCUUCUCUGAACUCUUAUUCCUGGUGAAAUGGCUAUGCCUAAGCCUGCCUUUGUCCCAGAUGUUGCAAUGCAUCCUCCGUGAGGGAGCACAGUUCUGGGUCACUGAGCUCCUGGCAGCAGGGGGUUUGGGCAGCAAGUGCUGAGGCUUCAGGAGUUGGGAGAUUAGUGUUCAAGUCCCCACCUUUAAAGGUCUGAUUUCCUCAAACACAGCUGUCUGAGGAGCUACCGUGUCUGUGCAGGCCUUUUCAUUUUACUACUUGGAGAUCUUGAUUUGCAAAGGGGCAUCCUGAGGUCCCUCUGUCCUAGGCAGUUGAGAACAACUGGGCAGUGAGGCCAAAGCACUUCCCACUGGCCCCUCUCCCCAGGGCAGAGCAGGGAGUCCUGUCCUGGCCCGUCCCAUCCAGGUGCCCCCAAACGCGUGAAUCAUGCCUUGAUCUCUUGCUCACAUCUACACUGGGAUUGCCUGGGGGGAGUCUGUCCAAACUCCUUUCCUGUAGGUGCCCACUGUUGCAGUCUCCUGGCUGGAUCUGAACCAACAGCAUGGAAGCGAAAGGCUCCGUAACCCAAUACCAAGCCAGCCUCCUCCUCACUGCACCAUUGAAAUGACCAGCCGGGCUGGUGACAAACCUGCUCCAUGGCUGUCACUACACAUCGUGUUGCACUGGCAGCAGGAGAGGAACUCGGACCCUUCUGCUCCAGCAUCCUGGGAUGGGAGCUCGUGGAGAGUUGCCUUUAGUGCCAUGCCCCCAGGCCUAAAGCACAGCUCUGACCCCAUCUAACAGAGGGCAACAGUGCAUGCAGACACUAGCAUCCCAUUCAUUAGCCAAGGGCCAAGCAUCUUAGCUCUCCCAGUGUCCUUCAAACCCAUUCAGAGACUGGAAAUACCCGUGCUACUGAUUCCCCCCCAGCCAAGCUGCUUGUCUCGGCUGCUUAUCUAGGCUCCCUCUUGCUCUUGUAAAGAUUUUUCUCUCUCUUGCUCAACAGUCCACAAUUGGAUGCAACUGGUCGCUGGGAAUGGGCCCCUCUCACACUCUAGUCCCAUACAAAAUAGCCGCUUAGCCUCCCUGCUUGCCUGCCGGCUUCCUGUCUCUUCUAAAUGCACCUCUUCAGAAAUGUUGAAAGCAAACCCGGACUGAAGCAAGACUUAAUUCCAUCCCAGCUCUUUGGACAGACACGCCAGCCUCCGGUUCCCUCGCUCCAGCUUGCAAAGGGCUCCGAGCUGAUUAGAAUCCGGGGGAGGAAAUUGGAACCUGCCUGUUCCUUAGCUGCAGUGCGGAGAAGGGCGAGCACAGCGAACGCCCAAAUUUCACCUGCUUCCCCGUUAUCCUCUGCUGGCCGAGUCACGGGGCCUUGCCCUUCCCUGCCUUAACUUCUUCCCAGUUGAAGGAAAGGUUAGCUGAGAUCACACAGCCAGCCGGAAGCCCAGAUUCCAAGUCCCUGGGGCUAAUUAUGGAACAACAUUAGAUAAAAGUCAACAUAUGUUGUAAAAGGCACUAUGUAUCACUGCCUGACAGCUCUUAACAAUAUGCUCAUGUAACAGCUGUCAGACUGCAACGCUAGAAAAUGAGUAAUAUGUUGAUUUAUGUAUAUCAGAUCUGCCCUUACGUUCCCCAACAACAACACAAAAAGCUCCUGUACUAUCAGCUUUGCAGGGGUUGGAGAAGAAGUUGUUUCUUGAAGGUGCUUUUGGAGAUGGCCUUGGCUCACCUCUCUUCUGUUAGCUGUUUGGCUAGGGUUUUCAACAAGUCCAGGUGUGAGUGAAAGCAGGAACUGGCAGAUCUAGACCAACUGCAUAGGAGCAAAUAGACUCGCCCUGGGGAUGCUCAUGAGAAUUAUAGAGAUUAUGGGAGCAGUAGCCACUAAGGUUCAAAUUCCAUCCUCG